UACGUAGGGUGCGAGCGUUAAUCGGAAUUACUGGGCGUAAAGCGUGCGCAGGCGGUAAGUUAAGUCUGAUGUGAAAGCCCCGGGCUCAACCUGGGAAUGGCAUUGGAAACUGGCUUGCUGGAGUGUGGCAGAGGGGGGUGGAAUUCCGCGUGUAGCAGUGAAAUGCGUAGAGAUGCGGAGGAACACCGAUGGCGAAGGCAGCCCCCUGGGCCAACACUGACGCUCAGGCACGAAAGCGUGGGGUGCAAACAGG
rnacentral:rRNA from 1 species